GAUGAACGCUGGCGGCGUGCCUAAUACAUGCAAGUCGAGCGAACAGAUAAGGAGCUUGCUCCUUUGACGUUAGCGGCGGACGGGUGAGUUACACGUGGAUAACCUACCUAUAAGACUGGGAUAACUUCGGGAAACCGGAGCUAAUACCGGAUAACAUAUUGAACCGCAUGGUUCAAUAGUGAAAGGCGGCUUUGCUGUCACUUAUAGAUGGAUCCGCGCCGUAUUAGCUAGUUGGUAAGGUAACGGCUUACCAAGGCAACGAUACGUAGCCGACCUGAGAGGGUGAUAGGCCACACGGGAACGGAGACGCGGUCCAGACUCCUGCGGGAGGCAGCAGUAGGGAAUCUUCCGCAAUGGGCGAAAGCCUGACGGAGCAACGCCGCGUGAGUGAUGAAGGUCUUCGGAUCGUAAAACUCUGUUAUCAGGGAAGAACAAAUGUGUAAGUAACUGUGCACAUCUUGACGGUACCUGAUCAGAAAGCCACGGCUAACUACGUG
rnacentral:rRNA from 1 species